AUUCCAGCUUGUACUCCUAGAAUUAUGUGAUAUAUAUAUAUAUAUAUAUAUAUAUAUAUAUUUAAUCAAUAUCAUUCUACGUGUACUUUGAUAUUAAUAUAUAUAUAUAUCACAUAAUUCUGGGAGUACAAGCUGGAAU